rnacentral:rRNA from 1 species
GACGAACGCUGGCGGCGUGCUUAACACAUGCAAGUCGAGCGGUAAGGCCCUUUCGGGGGUACACGAGCGGCGAAUGGGUGAGUAACACGUGGGUGACCUGCCCUCAGCUCUGGGAUAAGCCUGGGAAACCGGGUCUAAUACUGGAUAUGACUCCAUGACGCAUGUUGUGGGGUGGAAAGCCUUGUGCGGCUGAGGAUGGGCCCGCGGCCUAUCAGCUUGUUGGUGGGGNGAUGGCCUACCAAGGCGACGACGGGUAGCCGCCUGAGAGGGCGACCGGCCACACUGGGACUGAGACACGGCCCAGACUCCUACGGGAGGCAGCAGUGGGGAAUCUUGCGACAAGUGGGACGAAAGCCUGUCGCAGCGACGCCGCGUGAGGAUGA